rnacentral:lncRNA from 1 species
GCACCACGACCUUCGGGCACUUAUUUUUGGGCGCGGCUUUGCCCGCGGCUUAUUUUUGGCACCCCGAGGCCCCUCGCAAAGUCUCGCCCCAUUCCGAGUCCGGCGGACGAACUUCGCCCGCGUCCCCCACCAAGGCUAUAGCCCACCCAUUUUUUGGCCAUUUUUCCGCUGGGGGUUUUGGCACCACGACCUUCGGGUGCUUAUUUUUGGGCGCGGCUGUGCCCGCGACUUCCCGCGGAUACCCCGAGGCCCCUCGGAAAGUUUCGCCGAAUUCCGAGUCCGGCGGACGAACUUCGCCGGCGCCCCCGCCAAGGCUAUAGCCCGCCCGUUUUUUGGCCAUUUUUCCGCUGGGGGGUUUUGGCACCACGACCUUUGGGCACUUAUUUUUGGGCGCGGCUUUGCCCGCGUCUUAUUUUUGGCACCCCGAGGCCCCUCGCAAAGUCUCGCCCCAUUCCGAGUCCGGCGGACGAACUUCGCCAGCGCCCCCCACCAAGGCUAUAGCCCACCGGUUUUUUGGCCAUUUUUCCGCUGGGGGGUUUUGGCACCACGACCUUCGGGCAAUUAUUUUUGGGCGCGGCUUUGCCCGCGGCCUUAUUUUUGGCACCCCGAGGCCCCUCGNNNNNNNNNNNNNNNNNNNNNNNNNNNNNNNNNNNNNNNNNNNNNNNNNNNNNNNNNNNNNNNNNNNNNNNNNNNNNNNNNNNNNNNNNNNNNNNNNNNNACCCCACCCUUUUUUUGGCCAUUUUUCCGCUGGGGGUUUUGGCACCACGACCUUCGGGUGCUUAUUUUUGGGCGCGGCUGUGCCCGCGACUUCCCACGGGUACCCCGAGGCCCCUCGCAAAGUCUCGCCCAAUUCCGAGUCCGGCGAACGAACUUCGCCUGCGCCCCCGCCAAGGCUAUAGCCCACCCGUUUUUUGGCCAUUUUUCCGCUGGGGGGUUUUGGCACCACGACCUUCGGGCACUUAUUUUUGGGCGCGGCUUUGCCCGCGGCUUAUUUUUGGCGCCCCGAGGCCCCUCGCAAAGUCUCGCCCCAUUCCGAGUCCGGCGGACGAACUUCGCCCGCGCCCCCAUCAAGGCUAUAGCCCACCCGUUUUUUGGCCAUUUUUCCGCUGGGGGUUUUGGCACCACGACCUUCGGGCGCUUAUUUUUGGGCGCGGCUGUGCCCGCGACUUCCCGCGGGCACCCCGAGGCCCCUCACAAAGUCUCGCCCCAUUGCGAGUCCGGCGGACGAAUUUCGCCCGCGCCCCCCACCAAGGGUAUAGCCCACCCGUUUUUUGGCCAUUUUUCCGCUGGGGGGUUUUGGAACCACGACCUUCGGGCGCUUAGUUCUGGGCGCGGCUGUGCCCGCGACUACCCGCGGGCACCCCGAGGCCCCUCGCAAAGUCUCGCCCCAUUCCGAGUCCGGCGGACGAACUUCGCCCGCGCCCCCCACCAAGGCUAUAGCCCACCCGUUUUUUGGCCAUUUUUCCGCUGGGGGGUUUUGGCACCACGACCUUCGGGGACUUAUUUUUGGGCGUGGCUUUGCCCGCGGCUUAUUUUUGGCACCCCGAGGCCCCUCGCAAAGUCUCGCCCCAUUCCGAGUCCGGCGGACGAACUUCGCCCGCGCCCCCCAACAAGGCUAUAGCCCACCCGUUUUUUGGCCAUUUUUCCGCUGGGGGGUUUUGGCACCACGACCUUCGGGCGCUUAUUUUUGGGUGCGGCUGUGCCCGCGACUUCCCGCGGGCACCCCGAGGCCCCUCGCAAAGUCUCGCCCAAUUCCGAGUCCGGCGGACGAACUUCGCCCGCGCCCCCCACCAAGGCUAUAGCCCACCCGUUUUUUGGCCAUUUUUCCGCUGGGGGGUUUUGGCACCACGACCUUCGGGCACUUAUUUUUGGGCGCGGCUUUGACCGCGACUUCCCGCGGCUACCCCGAGGCCCCUCGCAAAGUCUCGCCCCAUUCCGAGUCCGGCGGACGAACUUCGCCCGCGCCCCCCACCAAGGCUAUAGCCCACCCGUUUUUUGGCCAUUUUUCCGCUGGGGGGUUUGGCACCACGACCUUCGGGCGCUUAUUUUUGUGCGCGGCU